GACGAACGCGGCGGCGUGCCUUAAUACAUGCAAGUAGAACGUUGAAGGAGGAGCUUGCUUCUCUGGAUGAGUUGCGAACGGGUGAGUAACGCGUAGGUAACCUGCCUGGUAGCGGGGGAUAACUAUUGGAAACGAUAGCUAAUACCGCAUAAGAGUAGAUGUUGCAUGACAUUUGCUUAAAAGGUGCAAUUGCAUCACUACCAGAUGGACCUGCGUUGUAUUAGCUAGUUGGUGGGGUAACGGCUCACCAAGGCGACGAUACAUAGCCGACCUGAGAGGGUGAUCGGCCACACUGGGACUGAGACACGGCCCAGACUCCUACGGGAGGCAGCAGUAGGGAAUCUUCGGCAAUGGGCGGAAGUCUGACCGAGCAACGCCGCGUGAGUGAAGAAGGUUUUCGGAUCGUAAAGCUCUGUUGUAAGAGAAGAACGAGUGUGAGAGUGGAAAGUUCACACUGUGACGGUAUCUUACCAGAAAGGGACGGCUAACUACGUGCCAGCAGCCGCGGUAAUACGUAGGUGGCAAGCGUUAUCCGGAUUUAUUGGGCGUAAAGAGAGUGCAGGCGGUUUUCUAAGUCUGAUGUGAAAGCCUUCGGCUUAACCGGAGAAGUGCAUCGGAAACUGGAUAACUUGAGUGCAGAAGAGGGUAGUGGAACUCCAUGUGUAGCGGUGGAAUGCGUAGAUAUAUGGAAGAACACCAGUGGCGAAGGCGGCUACCUGGUCUGCAACUGACGCUGAGACUCGAAAGCAUGGGUAGCGAACAGG
rnacentral:rRNA from 1 species